GGGGAAUAUUGCACAAUGGGCGCAAGCCUGAUGCAGCCAUGCCGCGUGUGUGAAGAAGGCCUUCGGGUUGUAAAGCACUUUCAGCGAGGAGGAAGGGUAGUGUGUUAAUAGCACAUUGCAUUGACGUUACUCGCAGAAGAAGCACCGGCUAACUCCGUGCCAGCAGCCGCGGUAAUACGGAGGGUGCAAGCGUUAAUCGGAAUUACUGGGCGUAAAGCGCACGCAGGCGGUUUGUUAAGUCAGAUGUGAAAUCCCCGCGCUUAACGUGGGAACUGCAUUUGAAACUGGCAAGCUAGAGUCUUGUAGAGGGGGGUAGAAUUCCAGGUGUAGCGGUGAAAUGCGUAGAGAUCUGGAGGAAUACCGGUGGCGAAGGCGGCCCCCCUGGACAAAGACUGACGCUCAGGUGCGAAAGCGUGGGGAGCAAACAGGAUUAGAUACCC
rnacentral:rRNA from 1 species